rnacentral:tRNA from 1 species
CAGAUGGCAGAUUAUAUGUGAUAAGUUUAGGUCUUAUAUAUGAGGAAAAUUAUUUGAUUCCUUUCUG